rnacentral:lncRNA from 1 species
CAGGAGAACACAAACAUUGUGUAUCAUCUUUGGAAUCAAUGAUUGAUCAUGUCAUUUCACAUUUUGGGACAACAAAGAUAAAGGCAAUUUCAAGUACCUUUGUCCAAAACCAAGACCAAUAUGUUGUUGAGGAAGUGAAAAAAGUUGGAGACAAUGCAGUGAUGUGUCAUAGAUUGAAUUUCGAAAAAGUUGUAUUCAAUUGCCACCAAGUGCAAUCAACAAUCGCUUAUGUGGUCUCAUUGGUAGCCCCUGAUGGAACUAAAGCUAAGGCUUUAACAGUUUGUCACCAUGAUACAAGAGGGAUGAACCCUGAGUUGCUUUAUGAAGCUCUUAAAGUUGAUCCUGGAACCAUCCCUAUUUGUCAUUUCAUUGGAAAUAAGGCUGCUGCAUGGGUGUCCAAUCAUUCUAAUGACCAUCUAUGUGUUAUUUAGGUGCUAACUUGUUGUGCACAUCAUUUCUCAUUCAAUAAUUUUACACUAAACAUGUGUUUGUAUGGAGAAACACGAUGUGCAAGUAUCAAAUCUCAUGUAUUUCAAAUAAAACUAGGUAGUUCUAUUCUAGUUAGAACUAUGGGUGUACUUUGGUAUGGUCGGUAGGCAACCUAGUUUCCUAUGAUCAAUACACCAGUGUACGUUUAAAAUCGAUAAUGAUAAAAAAAUGUUAUUUAAUGUAAUAUAUUGUUGAUAUUUCAUUUGUGUUUUAAAAAAGUAGAAUAUGUCUAGGGAUGUCAAUGGGUAGGAUUUGGAUUGGAUAUUAUAGUACUCGUUCCCUUAUCCGCAUUUUAUAAAAAUAUUCAUACUCGUGCUCGUGUAUCAACUUUAAUAUGUGUACCCUUACCCUUUGGGUACCUUAUUCGUCCAUAUACCUAUUAUACACACUUUAACUAAAAUAAAUCGAUAAAUAAGUGAUAUUGUUGUGAUUAAUUAUUUAAAAAUUAUUCAAAUAUCUUAAAUCUAAUCAUGAUGCUUAGUUUGUUUGUCAUCAUAGUGUCAAGUUGUUUUUUUUCUCGUUUAAGUGCGGUGUUUACAUAGGCAACAAACUUGUUUGUUUUUCCGUCUAAGUGUGGUGUAUACAAAGACAACAAACUUGUUAUGUUGGUACCAUACUCACUCGUUCUUAUAUAUGAUGAUUUGUCAACACGUGAUUGGAUUGGUCAUUUCAAAGAUCAUCCUAUAAUCAAUAAGAGCGAACACCAACAAUAUAUUUUUCCGAAGAUGGAUUGAAUUAAAACUAUAGAUCUUGUCUUAUUCUUGACUAUUGUCCAGGAAGAAAUUAGUUUGAUUACUUGAAUUAAAAUUUUGGCUUGAUCAUCUUUCAUUGAUUUAUAAAAUCUUUAUAUGUAUUGUUGGCAUGUUUUGUGUUUUUUUAAUUAGUUUUGAUCUCAAAAUAUAGAAGGGGAAUAUUUCAUAUCAUGAUGAAUUUGCUUGUAAUUUUCUUAUUUACAUUUGAAUAAAGCUUAAAACAAAUACAAACAUGCAAUAUAUUUCUAAUAUGGUGAAAAAAUAAGCAAAGAUAGUCACACAACUAGAGAUGACAACACAACUUGUAUUUGCGACUAUCCACUUGAAAUUUUUUCGAUUUGGACAGAGAAAACUCACUUUGAUUGGUUGCGGGUGUAGAUUUUCUCCGGAAUUAAAACUCGGGCGAAGACAGGUUUGGAGUAUUCAUAUCCACCCCGCCUUUGUUCUCAAACUCAUUUUGUUAGUACUAUUAUUGUCAAUUUUAAAUUUUAUAUACAUGUAUUUAUUCAAUAUAUUUAAUAUUUUUUUAAUAUUAAAAAUUAUAAUCUUCUCUCUAGAAAAUAUAAUUUUAAUAUUUUUUAAUUUUAUUAUAUUAAAUAUAAUAAAUAUGACUUUUAAAGUUAUUAUUUUAUGUAUAUGAAUGGGUGUAGAUGUGGUUGGGACCGAACCCCGUCAUAGAUAUAAAUAGAGAAUUAAAUUUUACACCUGAUAACAAACAAGGACGGUGGCGGGUUUUCUCGGGUGCGGGAUGGAGGAGGCGAAACCUGCAUCUGCCCCUAUUACUAUGCCUAAUGAAAACCACGUAAUAAUGAGUUCGUUUGUUUAAGAUUUUUAAAAAGUGAUUUUGACUUUAUAUUGGAAAUUUUUUUUAAGAUAACUUAUUGAAAAAUAUUAUAAGUUGCUUUAGUCUAAUUUGUUAUUGAUUAAAAAAUUAAUUUUGGCAUUCUAUAACUGAGAUAUUUAUUAUUAAAUAUUUUAACAUGAUAAUUUUAACAAAAAAUAUCUAUAAAAAAUGAUUUUUAUGAACAAAAUAAAUUUUAAUUUUAAUUUCUUUUUGAAAUUUCAUUAUCCAAAAAAAUUGUAGCAAAGAGAUAGAAUACUUAAAAUAAUAUUUUAAAAUAAACUAUGUAAAUCAAUUUUUCAUGUAAAAUUUUAUUUUUGAAAUUCUUUUUUAGAAAUUUUAUAACAAAAAGUAAGAUUAUUAUAAAAAUCUUGGACUAUCCCUAUGACUAUGGGAGUUGGAAGCUCUUAUUAAAAUUCUAAUCUAAAUGAAAAACAACCUUGCCCUUUUUUCCUAUAUACUAUAUUACACUCUAACCCUUGUUAUUCUACAAAACUUAAUUAUAGUUUUAUUAAAUUAAAAAAAAAUGUAAGUAGUUAUAAUUUUUUAAUUAAUAAUUUUUCCACUUUGCUAAUUUUUUUAAAAAAAAUUAACUAAAAUUUGAACUAGAUAAAGUAUAGAAGAAGGAAGAAAGAAUAGAGCAUAGAAUAUUAUAAUAUUUGCAUUAUAUUCUUCGAGGUGUAUUUCUAUAAAGUCACAUGAGUUCUAUUGAUAAUAGGAGAUAAAUCUUGUAACUUAUAAGUAUAUUAAGAGUCUAUUUUUAGAUGCACUAACAAUUAAAGCGAAGAACAAUAACAAUUGAGUGAAUGACUUUAAUUUAACUAUGGAGUUAUAUGAUGUAGGAAUAUAAACAUCCACUAAAUACUUUAAUUAUUCACUACACUCCCCCAUAUGAAAACCUUACUAAAAAAACUAGUGGUAAAAAAUUCUUGUGAAGAAAAAAAUUUACAACAUUUUUGUGGGAACUGUCUCAUUAAAAAUACUUUAAGAAAAACUCAAAAGGGAUAAAAUUUCGGUGAAGGAAAAAAUAGUGCAUUAUAUAUUUAUUUAUUUAUCAUUUCUAUGUAGAUAACAAUUUGUUAAACAAUAAAGAUCAAUCAAUUGUAGUAGUUGUUGAAAAAUUUCUUCGGAUGACUUCAUUGAUUUUUGUAUUAUCAAUUGGUUGAACAUUAAGACCAAAAACUAUUAUGCUAUAAUAUCUCUUGUUCUAUCUCCUAUAAUGAAUCAUUCUCAACUAAGGUGUGGAUGCAAUAUUAUUCUCAUAAAUAACUACUAUAGUUAUUGUUAUGAAACUUAAAUCAUAAUUCAUUUGCCUAUGUUGAAUCAUGACAGAUUUAAGUCAAAAACACCUUCUCGACUUUCCUAUGUGUAGUUCUAAGUAUAUAUUUCACUAUAUUUCAAUGCAGUUGUCUAUAUAUAUAAAGGACUACAUUUGUCUAAUAGAUAGAUUAACAACAAAGUAUAUUUUAAUGUGUAUUUUUAGAAAGGUAAAUAAGUAUAAUACAUAUAUAUAUAUAUAUAAUAUUUGGACCGUUCGAAAAAUAUAUUUGUUCCCAAUUGGUGAUCUUAAAACCAUCAAAAUAAACAAUUGAUUUGUUUUGUAUAUAUAGAACCAUUUUAGCACAUUUAUUUUUUAAGCUUCAAGAUUCAUAGAAACUUCAAAUGUUUUAAAAGCUCUUCUUAAGUUUAGAUAAGAUUUAUAUCAUUACCAUAAAUAAUAAUUAUAAUAUUUUUUUUUUUAAAUGGGAGAAGGAUAAAUUAUUAUUAAAUUAACACUAAUGACUAUUUUACGAUUGUUCCAAAUGAUAUUUGAAUUAUAUCUCUUUUGAUUACAAUAUUAAAUUCAUAUUGUUGAGCUACCACCUUAUGAACAUAAUUGUAGCAAAGUCAUUGUACAUAUUUCUAGUAGUGUUAAGUAAUCUAUGUUGCAAUUACAUUUACUAAACAAGAUGCGCUCAAUAUAAAGAUUAAAACUAUAAUUAUAUUUUAGUAUGGAAGUCAAACAAUGAAUGAACAUGCAUAUAAAUUAGGAUCUUCCACAUAUUUGAUUUAUCAAAGAUAUUUUUGAUGAAUUCAUUUAUUGUGGUCUCUCGGUAGUAGUCUUGACACACAUAGAAAAUAAAGACGGAUGACAAACACAAGUCACUUGUUACACACUCAUAUUUGAGUAGAACCCAUAUUAAUUAAUUUAUUUAGUUAGUAAUUCGAAUUAAUUUAAUUUAUUUAUGGCUUAAGUAUAUGUCUAGUCCAUGUAAUUUAAUGGUUUUUUUUGUCCCUAUAAUUUUUUUUGUUUCAAAUUUAGUCACAUAAGUUCAAUUUUGUUUUAAAAUCGUCUUUGUUGUUAGUGACUGUUAAAAAAAGCAGACAUGACAAAUAGAGAAUGGGUGGAAAAAAAAAGUGCAAUCUUACAAGAACAAAAAUAAAAAUUUAAAAAAAAAACACGAAUUUACAAGGACUAAACAUAUAUACUUUGAUUUGAUUUUUGACUCUGCAAGUUCACGCUUUUUUAUUUUCAUUUCUUCUCUGUUUUCCAUGUCAGCUUUUUUCAACAAUAACUAACAAUAUAGACGGUUUUAAAACAAAAUUGAACUUACAAAUUUAAAUUUGAAACAAACAAAAAAUUACAAGAAUGAAAACAAAAAAAAAACGCUAAUUUACAGAAACCUUAAAUUUUUUAAGCUUAAUUUAAUUAUUUAAUUUGAUCGCUAGUCAACUAAUACUCUUAAUAAAUAAAUAAAUAAUAUAAUUAAUAUAAGAUAUUUGUCUACAUAAUAUAAUUAGAAUAUAAUUAAAUAGUAAAAUAUUUCUAAACAUCUGUUCUAGUUGGAAAAUUGACACUAAAUUUUUGUUGGUUGCCUUCUAAAAAUCUAUCAUGCCUCAUCAUUGUACUAAGAAAAAUAAAUUAAGCUUUGUUAAUACCUUUACUCAAGGAGAAUCAACAUUAAAUAUUGGUACCACAAGUUUUGGAGAUUCUAUGUAUCUAUCCUGCAUGGACGCCAUGUCAUGGAAACAACAAUGGUACUACAAACCUUGGAGUGGGAUGCAUGGACGACAUUUGCACAAGUUCUGUUACCCACUUGUAGGAAUCAAAAUGAAUGAACAAAAUGGUUUAAGACAAGCUUUUCAUGUGAACUUACUAUAUAUAAUGGGCACCUUGUAACAUUUAUACACACACUCAAGUAAACUUAUAUAUAGUCAUCACUUCUUCAUAACCAACCAAUGGAGUUUUCACGUCUCUCUAUUUUAGCUCUAUUUUGUGUAAGCUAACUUAUUUUCUACUUCAAGAAUUAAAAGAUCCAUACAAAGUUUUCAUUAGGAAUUAUCAUUAAGGAAUAAGGAGGGACACUUUUUUUAAACAAUACUAAUAUAUGUAAUUUGAAUAUUUUUUAUUACAGUUGACUUUUGUGGGAAUUGACGCAUCACCAUUGUCUGCCGAAGAUUAUUGGAAAUCUGUUUGGCCAAAUGCUCCUCUUCCAAAGGCUUUCUUUGAUCUAUUGUUACCUUGUUAGUAGUAGUAUUAUAUAUAUAUUUGUUAGNNNNNNNNNNNNNNNNNNNNNNNNNNNNNNNNNNNNNNNNNNNNNNNNNNNNNNNNNNNNNNNNNNNNNNNNNNNNNNNNNNNNNNNNNNNNNNNNNNNNNNNNNNNNNNNNNNNNNNNNNNNNNNNNNNNNNNNNNNNNNNNNNNNNNNNNNNNNNNNNNNNNNNNNNNNNNNNNNNNNNNNNNNNNNNNNNNNNNNNNNNNNNNNNNNNNNNNNNNNNNNNNNNNNNNNNNNNNNNNNNNNNNNNNNNNNNNNNNNNNNNNNNGAAUUUACAUUAUGACGAUAGUUGUAUGUAUUUCUUCUAAUUUAUUUUUUAUUCUUUUAAACCCAAUGGUUCCUACGGCUCCUACUCAAUAAAUCAAUUGUAGGAGAUCCAAUUUUUGUUGAUAGAGCUAUAAAUCAAUUGUAGGAGAUCCAAUUUUUGUUGAUAGAGCUAUAAAUCAAUUGCUCAUUAUAUUUUUGUUAUUUUUUCAUAUAUGAAUUAGUGUCUCAUAACAAGAUUUUUAAGACUCAUUUUUAUCUAUUAUUGUGGCAGAUGGAAAAACCAAUAGUCUACCCAUAAAAGUUGAAGAAAUGAAUCAAUACUCGACACUCUUUUUUGAGCAUGAUCUCUAUCCUGGAAAAAAAAUUACCUUGGGUAAAAGUCAAUCUUUGGGAAAGAUGGUACGACCAUUCACAAAACCAACACAAGGUAUCACAGACUCCAUAUGGUUGGCAAAUAAAAAGAGACAAAGUCUUAAUGACUUUUGUGCGAGUCCAACGGCUACAGGAGAACAUAAACAUUGUGUGUCAUCCUUGGAAUCAAUGGUUGAUCAUGUCAUUUCACAUUUUGGGACGACAAAGAUUAAGGCAAUUUCAAGUACUUUUACCCAAAAUCAAGAUGAAUAUGUUGUUGAGGAAGUGAAAAGAGUUGGAGACAAUGCAGUGAUGUGUCAUAGAUUGAAUUUCGAAAAAGUUGUAUUCAAUUGCCACCAAGUGCAAGAAACAACCGCUUACGUAGUCUCAUUGGUAUCCCCUGAUGGAACUAAAGUUAAUGCUUUAACAGUUUGUCACCAU